GUCUUGUUUAGCUUGGAGAAGAGAAGGCUCUGGGGAGACCUGAUUGUGGCCUUCCAAUACUUGAAGGGAGUGUAUAAACAGGAGGGGAAAUGGCUGUUUGUGAGGGUGGAUAGUGAUAAGACAACGGGGAAUGGUUUAAAACUGAGACAUGGGAGGUUUAGGUUAGAUAUUAGGCAGAAGUUUCUCACACAGAGGGUGGUGACACACUGGAACAGAUUACCUAAGGAGGUUGUGGAUGCCCCAUCCCUGUUGGCAUUCAAGGCCAGGCUGGCUGUGGCUCUGGGCAGCCUGGUCUGGUGGUUGGCGACCUUGCACAUAGCAGGGGGGUUAAAACUGGAUGAUCAUUGUGGUCCUUUUCAACCCAGGCCAUUGUAUGAUUCUAUGAUUCUAUGCUUGCAGACUUCUUCUCUCCAGGAGUCCAUGUCCAUGGCACUAACAAGCUGGUUGAAGGAAGAGGUGAUAUUUUAAGUGCAUUUGACACACUGGAGUAAAUUGAGUCUUUGAAGUUAAAAUAAGG
ensembl:lncRNA